AUCGAUAUUGCAUUGCUCCAGUGACCUUUGCCUCACUUGCAAGAUGAAUAGGUAAAUGCACCAUAACAUCAAAGAAUGAUGGAAAAAAUAUUAUUUCUAAUUUGCAAAGUGUGACUAUUAUGUCAUUCUCAAGGUGUUCUAAUUGAUUAGUCUUUAACACUUGAGAACACAACUGUUUGAAAAAACUGCAUAGUUCAACUAUAACAACACAAACAUUCUUAUGUAGAACUCCUCGAAUUGCAAGUGGAAGGAGUUGUUGCAUGAGACUAUGACAAUCAUGAGACUUCAAUCCAAAUAUCUUUCUUUCAUUCACUUGUACAC
rnacentral:lncRNA from 1 species